AACUAUAACGGUCCUAAGGUAGCGAAAUUCCUUGUCAGGUAAGUUCUGACCCGCAUGAAAGGCGUAAUGAUUUGGGCACUGUCUCAACAGCCCGCCCGGCGAAAUUGUAGUACCGGUGAAGAUGCCGGUUACCCGCGACAAGACGGAAAGACCCCAUGGAGCUUUACUGUAGCCUAAUAUUGGGUUUCGAUGUUGCAUGCACAGGAUAGAUGGGACACUGGGAAGCAGGUGCUUUGGCGCUUGUGGAGUGGCCGUUGGGAUACCAUCCUUGCGAUAUUGGAAUUCUAACCUGCGCCUUUGAAUCAAGGCGGGGGACAUUGUUAGGUGGGCAGUUUGACUGGGGCGGUCGCCUCCUAAAGAGUAACGGAGGCGUUCAAAGGUUCGCUCAGCUUGAACGGAAAUCAAGCAAAAGAGUGCAAACGCAGAAGCGAGCCUAACUGCGAGACUGACGGGUCGAGCAGUAACGAAAGUUGGAGUUAGUGAUCCGGUGGUAUGUGAGUGGAAAUGCCAUCGCUCAACGGAUAAAAGUUACCCUGGGGAUAACAGGCUGAUCUCCCCCAAGAGUCCACAUCGACGGGGAGGUUUGGCACCUCGAUGUCGGCUCAUCGCAUCCUGGGGCUGUAUUCGGUCCCAAGGGUUUGGCUGUUCGCCAAUUAAAGCGGUACGCGAGCUGGGUUCAGAACGUCGUGAGACAGUUCGGUCCCUAUCUGUCGUGGGCGCAGGAUAUUUGAUGGGAGCUGUUCCUAGUACGAGAGGACCGGAGCGGACGUACCUCUGGCGCACCAGUUGUUCUGCCAAGAGCAUAGCUGGGCAACUAUGUACGGAUCGGAUAAACGCUGAAAGCAUCUAAGCGUGAAGCCGACCCAAAGAUAAGAUAUCCCAUUGUUUUAAACAAGUAAGACCCCUUGAAGACUACAAGGUUGAUAGGCACGAUGUGUAAGUGGAGUGAUCCAUUCAGCAAGCGUGUACUAAUAGGUCGAGGGCUUGACCAC
rnacentral:rRNA from 1 species